rnacentral:lncRNA from 1 species
UUGAUGCAAGACAAGAUGAAGAUGAGCAAAAAGCCAGUUUACAAAAAAAAAAGAUGAAUAUGUGCAAAAUAGCAUGUUGGAGAAAAAACUAUUUACCACUAGCUCAUUCUCUAUCUGAAUUAGAGAACUUCUAUGGUCAUUUUCUGUUUGUACUUUAUAAAUAAGGUCUCUAAAGACUCAAGGGGUGCAAUUUGACUUUUGGUAAAACAAAAUAGCUGAGAGAGAGUAACUAUAAUCUACAUAAUCUAACUUAAGAUCAGAGUUAAUCGUUUAGAUAGUUUAUUUUCUUAAUUAGCUUCCACACGGUCAGUUCAUUGUUUACAAUUUUACCAAUUUUUUUUUAACAAAUCAUGUUCGGUGGAUCCAGUUAGCCUGUAUACGCACUCAAGAGCUAAAGUCAGUCGCAUCUACAUAGA